UCUGCAUUUCCAUUAUCAGCACUUCCCGGAGGAGAAGAGGAUUGUGGUGUCCAUGCCCGACAGCCAAAAUGCCUAUGCACGCCUGUGCUACCAGCUCAAUGCCUGUGAGGAUCUGGAGCACAGUAACAAGCAGCUGUUCAAUUCUUCGCACAAUGUCUCCUUAUCAUACGACACUCUACUUCCCUGUUUAUGUAUUGAGGUAUUUUAUGCCCGAGAAAAUAGUAGACGAAAUCAAGA